AUCUGCGUUCAAAGCUGGUGGAACACAGGGUAUCCCGUCCGCUCUGCCUUACUCAAGCCCCUAAGCGGUCGCUCAGUAGUAUAGUGGGUGACCAUAUGCGAAUCGCGACUAACGCAGGUU
rnacentral:rRNA from 1 species